AAGGGCUUUCUUUUCUCGCUUGUUUAGUAAAGUCAAGUUUUUGGCCUUAUCUUGCAGGUGACGACGACGUCGAGUUGGCGGCGGAGAAAGACUCGGCAUUCAGGCGAGCCGCCCGGUGGUGUGGUACGUAGUGGGUUUAGUACGCCCCGCCAAAACAAAACGGCUCCGAAACAAACAAAAAGGUGCGUGCCGCACUCACGAGGGACUGGCAGUGAUAUACUGGAGGAAGGUGGGGAUGACGUCAAGUCCGCAUGGCCCUUAUGGGCUGGGCCACACACGUGCUACAAUGGCAAUUACAAUGGGAAGCAAGGCUGUAAGGCGGAGCGAAUCCGGAAAGAAUGCCUCAGUUCGGAUUGUUCUCUGCAACUCGGGAACAUGAAGUUGGAAUCGCUAGUAAUCGCGGAUCAGCAUGCCGCGGUGAAUAU
rnacentral:ncRNA from 1 species